CUUGGUCAUUUAGAGGAAGUAAAAGUCGUAACAAGGUUUCCGUAGGUGAACCUGCGGAAGGAUCAUUAAUAAGUUACCUCGCGCUCUCGAGCGUGCGGGUUUAGAUUCCACGUGCGUAUCCCGAUUAGGGGUUGUGCGGUGGCGGGUAGUAAUACCCGCCUUUGGGAUGACUAACUUAAACCCGUGUCUACCUUCUUUGUUGCUUUGGCGGGCCGCCUCACGGCACCGGCUCCGGCUGAUUAUGCCCGCCAGAGGACCCAAACUCUUUUGUUUUAGUGACGUCUGAGUACUAUAUAAUAGUUAAAACUUUCAACAACGGAUCUCUUGGUUCUGGCAUCGAUGAAGAACGCAGCGAAAUGCGAUAAGUAAUGUGAAUUGCAGAAUUCAGUGAAUCAUCGAAUCUUUGAACGCACAUUGCGCCCCUUGGUAUUCCGAGGGGCAUGCCUGUUCGAGCGUCAUUAUGACCAAUCAAGCCUGGCUUGGUGUUGGGGUUCGCGGUCCCGCGGCCCUUAAAAUCAGUGGCGGUGCCGCCCGGCUCUAAGCGUAGUAAUUUUCUCGCUAUAGUGUCCGGGUGGUUACCUGCCAGAACCCCCCAUUUUUACGGUUGACCUCGGAUCAGGUAGGGAUACCCGCUGAACUUAAGCAUAUCAAUAAGCGGAGGA
rnacentral:rRNA from 1 species